rnacentral:rRNA from 3 species
AAAUUGAAGAGUUUGAUCAUGGCUCAGAUUGAACGCUGGCGGCAGGCCUAACACAUGCAAGUCGAACGGUAACAGGAAGCAGCUUGCUGUUUCGCUGACGAGUGGCGGACGGGUGAGUAAUGUCUGGGAA